UCCGUAGGCGGUUCUUUAAGUCAGUGGUGAAAUCCCAGAGCUCAACUCUGGAACUGCCAUUGAAACUGAAGAACUUGAAUAUGGUUGAGGUAGGCGGAAUACGUUAUGUAGCGGUGAAAUGCAUAGAUAUAACGUAGAACACCAAUUGCGAAGGCAGCUUACUAAACCAUUAUUGACGCUGAUGGAAGAAAGCGUGGGGAGCGAACAGGAUUAGAUACCCUGGUAGUCC
rnacentral:rRNA from 1 species